AGCUGCUCAGCCAGCUUUUUAGGUGCCUAUUGUGCAGGCUGCCUUCUAUGCCCAGUGGGAUAUCUGUGAUACUGUUGUGUUAAUGUGCUUCAGCUUUCUGCAGUUUUUACUGCCACAUUUUCCUCCUCUGGCUGCAAUCAACCUGAAGUUUCUGGUGUGUCAGUGGAAUAAAAGAGAAAGAGGUGGGAUGUAUAUAGCAAGCCAGACUGGAAGUAGAGUAAUAACAAAGUGUAUCUGGAGAUUAAUUGCAAGAAGAAUGGGACUGCAAAUCCCUGAACUCCAACACCUUGAGUUCUAUCUCCAAUCUAAAUCUGAAUGCUGUACAAGUCAUACAUAAAGGAUGGUUAAGGAAGUGAGGACCUUCCUAUAGUAAGCCAUAAAAAAUGGUGAAUGAUGAGUGUUCAUGUGUGGCUACAGGACUUUUCUCUGCUGUAAAGAAAAAAAGCUAAUUUUAGCUGCUUUAAUAAAGUAUUCAUUACUAUAUUGCCACUGAACUUGGUAUUCACAUAUUAAGAUCUCCCUACCAAAAGGAAAGAUAUUCUCUUCCUCUUUCACCAGUGCUGAGACCUUUUGUGGAAGCAGCAGUGACUUCUUUUUUCCAAAGAUGCAUAUACCUACAGUGGAUGACUGAUGAGUGUUUUCCCCUCAAAAGCCAAGAGUCAAGAUUGGGAUGUGUUUUGAAUUGAUUCCAACACUCUGUGGCCCAGGUUUCUUUCCGUAUGAUGAGACAUUGAAUUUUAAUGGACAUUUUUUAAUUUUAUCGGUUACUUUUAAUUAUGAUAAUAGUUUGUGCUGUAUGAGGCACUUCAAUCUGAACAUUUUCUGCCUUGUUUACAUGGAGAAAUUGAAAUCUAAUGUUACAUGAUUGCUAAUGGUUAGAUAACAAAAUUAAAAGACAGGUUCCUGAUGGAAAUUGAAUUAGGGUGAUGAAUUCUUAUAAUAGGUAUUAAUUCUCAUAAAAUCCCCAUGAUUUAAGCCUAGAGCAAUAUAGGGAAAACUGCUUCAAGCUGCAUUUUAGGAUGCAAAAGUGAAUCGAGAUUUCCAGAGAGAAGCAGGAACCAGAAGCCAGGAGUGUGUAUUUUGCAUACUUUAAGGGGUGAUCUCUAGCUGAAUGAUUUUGGAUGGAGAAAGUUGGCGGAAUCUAGAAACCAUUACCUGUCUGGCUGUUUGAAAUUCAUCCUUUUAGCAAUUUUUAAUGACAAUAAAAGGAGGAGAUAUUGAUUAAAUUAGUAGAAGUAAGGAAUAAGAAAAUCUAAGAGUGGUUGGUCCAU
rnacentral:lncRNA from 7 species